rnacentral:rRNA from 1 species
UGGGGAAUAUUGCGCAAUGGGGGGAACCCUGACGCAGCCAUGCCGCGUGAAUGAAGAAGGCCUUAGGGUUGUAAAGUUCUUUCGGUAUUGAGGAAGGUUGAUGUGUUAAUAGCACAUCAAAUUGACGUUAAAUACAGAAGAAGCACCGGCUAACUCCGUGCCAGCAGCCGCGGUAAUACGGAGGGUGCGAGCGUUAAUCGGAAUAACUGGGCGUAAAGGGCACGCAGGCGGUUAUUUAAGUGAGGUGUGAAAGCCCCGGGCUUAACCUGGGAAUUGCAUUUCAGACUGGGUAACUAGAGUACUUUAGGGAGGGGUAGAAUUCCACGUGUAGCGGUGAAAUGCGUAGAGAUGUGGAGGAAUACCGAAGGCGAAGGCAGCCCCUUGGGAAUGUACUGACGCUCAUGUGCGAAAGCGUGGGGAGCAAACAGGAUUAGAUACCCUGGUAGUCCACGCUGUAAACGCUGUCGAUUUGGGGGUUGGGGUUUAACUCUGGCGCCCGUAGCUAACGUGAUAAAUCGACCGCCUGGGGGGUACGGCCGCAAGGUUA